rnacentral:rRNA from 1 species
UACGUAGGUGGCAAGCGUUGUCCGGAUUUAUUGGGUUUAAAGGGUGCGUAGGCGGUCUAUUAAGUCAGUGCUGAAAUAUCCCGGCUUAACCCGGGAGGGUGGCAUUGAUACUGAUGGACUUGAGUAAAGUUGAGGUUGGCGGAAUUGACGGUGUAGCGGUGAAAAUGCUUAGAUAUCGUCAAGAACACCUAUUGCGAAGGCAGCUAACUAGCUAAACUGACGCUGAGGCACGAAGGUCAGGGGAGCAAACGGG